GAAAUGCGAUAAGUAAUGUGAAUUGCAGAAUUCCGUGAAUCAUCGAAUCUUUGAACGCACAUUGCGCCCUCUGGUAUUCCGGGGGGCAUGCCUGUCCGAGCGUCAUUGCGAACCCCUCAAGCACGGCUUGUUUGAUGGGCCCUCCCGCGUCUUGGUCGUCAAGACGGGCCCGAAAUGCAGUGGCGGCUUCGCGGUUAUCCGAUCAGCCAGAGCGUAUGGGGACUUUCUCUCUGUCACACGCCCGCGGCGCGGACCGACGCCUGUCGACCUUUAUUCAUCUUUUUCUCGGUUGACCUCGGAUCAGGUAGGGAUACCCGCUGAACUUAAGC
rnacentral:misc_RNA from 1 species